GGUAAAUGGGAAGCUAGAAGGUUAGGAGGGAAACAUAGAAGCCAGUUGGACUCACUGCUGGAGAGGCGGUGCCUGCUUCUGCUUUACCCUCCUGCGUUCUCCGCAGAGCUCAGACACGAACCCAAGCGAGCUCCAGAGAUGAUUUUUUUUGCCUUAUUUGUCUUUGGAAUCUUGGGAAAUGCAUGUGUUCUUAGUGAUUCACAUUCACAAGACAAAAGCUCAGGAAAAAAUAAGGACCAGCACUGUGAAGACUUGACUAUUGUAGUUGCCAGAUGCUUCUUCUAAGAGCUGGUAGGACAGAGUGAGGGCUGGGCCUGGGCACUGGCGCUCCUCUCAGGGGACCUCGAGGGGUAUCUGCCUGGGAUCGCGGCCUUUAUUUCAUUUCAGUCUUAUUUUCUCCUGCAUGCUCACAACACCUAGCUCUAAAUGUAUUUUGUGGACUAAAGCUUUCAAUUCAAGUAAGCGAAGUUAGGUGAAAGAAAAGCUUUCUUUCAAAGUCAACAGAGAGACGCUUUAGAUUAUAAAUACUCCGUUUUCUCUCAAAAGGCUGAUGUUCCUCCUCAGGGAAGCAACUGAAGGAAAAAGUAUCUGAACAGUUUCUUGUCUCUGGCUUUAAAAGCAGACUGGACUCGAGUCUGGCGGAGUGGCACUGGGGGACCUCCGUGUUGGGAAGCGGCAGACGGGCAGUCUCAGUGUGGGAGGCACAGAGCAGUUUCAUUUAUUUUUCAAUUAUGAAGUCAGAAGACUUGUGAAGUUACUUCUUAAAAAGACAUUUAAUACCAUAUUUUUAUAUCAUUAAAUAAGUUUUAUUUCAAAGUAUUAAAAAAAAGCAUUAGAUUCACAGGCACUGAGAAGGGACUAGAGGUUACCAAGGGGGUCGGGGACUGUUGAACCACUGUGAUGUAAAAUUUGUUAGUAAAAAUAAUGUCCGUUAUGCACAUUCUUUUGUAUUUUUAUGUGUACUUGUAAAGGCAUGAAGAAAACAUUGGAAAUGUACUUCCUAGGUUGUUUACAUGGUAAUCCUGGGGAAGAGCUUGCAAAACCAAGAAGAAAUACAAAAGCAGAAGAAGGAAAACACUUAGCUCCGUGGGGCGGCCUGGGCGGGCCCCGGGUCUCCCUCACACACAUUUUGACCCCCUUUCUAUGACUGGCAGCUGCUACAGGGGCCACUCUUCUCAGCAUGCUGUAUCUGUAAGUGUUUGAGUAUUUACAUAAGUAUUGCACAUCCAUAUAAAUGGUACCUAUCUUAUUUACAAGUGAACAGAGAGUGAGGAGACUGUAAUAUCCCCAGGCAGCCCCAUGUGUUGGGUGUUGCUGAACUAGGUAGCCAUGCAUGGGCCCCUCACCCCUGGACAUGGGUGAGCAGGGUGGGAGGUGGCUUAGAUGGGAGGCAGCACAGGUUCUGUGCCAUAUGCCGUUUCUGGUCGUGUGAGCAAACCUUCAGCGCCAUGUGGGCUGAGGAGCAAGAGGACAGGACUGUGCUCCUGGCAUCUGCCCUGGUCUCAGGGAGGGGAGGUGACAUUCGGUGCUUAUGGGCUGUGGCGUUUAGGAGCCUAGCACAGGAUGGGCUCUCUCACUGGUCUAGAAUCUGAGUCCCAGAAUUGCCUUUUUGGAUUCAUACUGGCUAUUUAAGAAUUUUAGUCCCUCUGUAAGCAUCUACUUUUUGCAUAAAUGACCUCUACAAAAACACCAGUUCCUAAAUACUGUGAGAAUUGACCUAAAAUGGCCAGAUAUGUUGGGGGUUUUGUCCUUUUAUUGCUUUGUUUUAUUAUUUUUCAAAAUUCAUUUUAUUUAUUGAAUUUUUUACUGAAGUAUAGUUGAUAUACAAUACUACAUUGGUUUCAAGUGUACCAACACAUUGAUUCAGCAGUUAGGUACACUAUUAAAUGCUCACCCCCACUAGUGUAGUCACUACCUGUCAACACAGAACGAUGUUACAGAACUAGUAACUAUAUUCUCUGUGCUGUACUUUCAUCCCUGUGACUAUUUUAUGACUGAAAUGUUGUGCCUCUUGAUCCUCUUCACCUAUUUCACCCAGCCACCCAGCCCCUCCCCCAUGGCAACCAAAAGUCACUUCUCAGUGCCUGUGAGUCUUUUGCUGUUUUGUUCAUUUUGUUGCGUUUUGUUUUUUUAUUCCACAUGUAAGCGAGAUCAUACGGUAUUUGUCUUUCUGUGCCUGGAUUAUUUCACUGAGCAUAGUACCCUUGUAACCGAGUGAAAAAGCCGGCAUCUCUGCCUCCAUGUUCUCUCUGCCUCCUCUGCCACUUCUUCUUGGGUCAAAAACCUGCUGCCUGUCAAUCAUCAGAAGGAAUCUUACUCAGGACUUAAGAUUGACGCAACCUGCCCCUUACCAGAAACUCACCUCCCCCAAGGAGAUAAAUAAGUAUGUACAGAAAUAAUGACUGGUGUGUUAAGGACUUACAAGAACAUCAUGGCCAGACCCAUGUCAGCAAAAUGACAAGUCAGCUAACCAAGGACAGGGAGUUUCACAGCCCUCAGACCCUUGCUGACGUCCAGAUGUCUGAAGUUGAUCAUCACUUCCUGACCUCAACCCUAUGUGCUCCCCCUUCCCUAUGUACAAGAAGGUAGAAAUCAAUCCCGGGUUACAACGGUGCUUUAGGACAUUAGCCCAUCAUCUCAGUCUGCUGGCUUUCCAACUUUCUUGUCAUUUUCCUUUUGCCCCAAAACCUGUCUUCAGACUUACUGGCUUGUUGUGCAGCAAGCGGCACGAGCUUGGACUGGGUAAAACCCUCUGGGCCCGUCCGUGUUGCAAAUGGCAAGACUUCUUUCUUAUUCAUAGCUGAAUAAUAUUCCAUGUAUAUCCACACCUUUAUCCAUUCAUCUAUUGAUGGACACUUUGGUUGCUUCCAUAUCUUGGCUAUUAUAAUAAUGUGGCAGUAAACAUAGUGGUGCAUGUAUCUUUUUGAAUCAGGGAUUUUGUUUCCUUGGGGUAAAUUCCUAGAAGUGGAAUUACUGGGUUGUAUGGUAUUUCUGUUUGUUGUUUUUUGGGGAACCUCCACACUGCUUCCCACAGUGGCUGCACCAACUAACAUUCCCACCCACAGUUUAGGAGGGGUCCCUUUUCUCCAGAUCCUCACCAACACUUGUUACUUCUUGUCUUCCUGACAGGUGUGAGGUGCUAUCUCACUGUAUCUUUGAUUUGCAUUUCCCUGGUGAUUAGUGAUGUGGAGCAUCUUUUCAUGUGUCUCUUGGCCAUCUGGCUGUCUUCCUUGGAAAAAUGUCUGUUCAGAUCCCCUAAUUUUGUUUUUUUAAUCCUUGGUAACUACUCCAGCUCUUCCACCUUAAAGCCCCUGCACAGUCUUCUUAUCACGACAGGUUGAGAUCAUGCGGUGCUCAUUGCCCAGGGCUCCUGUGGCUUGGGCCAAACUGGGAAUGCCUGAACUUUUAGUCUCUUUCAGGGUAUGUUGUUCACUGGAGUUUUUAGGAGGGGGGGACCCUGGUAGCCCUGGUGCUUCCUGCCUCUGCUGCCCCCUCCUGGCUGGAGGCCUUGCCCUGCCUCUUCAUGUGCGGAUGGGAGUGCAUUAGCCAGGUUUGUCACCUGGCCCUUUCUCAGAGGACCUCCUCGAGCACCCAACUGUGUCACAUGCAUUCAUACUCACCUGUCUCUGUAUUUCACCAGGGAGAACCCCCCCUGGGAGCACGACGUUGCCUUCUUGAUUGACUUACACCCAGGGCACGUAUGACACGUUUUAAGGGAAUCCUUCCACGCUCCCUCCAGGGGAAGGUCCCAGCUUUGAAGGGUUGUUGGAAAUACCAAAUGACACAAGGAGGCCAUUAGGUACAAAAUACGUAUGUAUUUGUGAAGUUAUGACCGAAUUAAAUAUGAAACAU